CAUUAGCUAGUUGGUGAGGUAACGGCUCACCAAGGCGACGAUGGGUAGCCGGCCUGAGAGGGUGUACGGCCACACUGGGACUGAGACACGGCCCAGACUCCUACGGGAGGCAGCAGUAGGGAAUAUUGCGCAAUGGACGGAAGUCUGACGCAGCGACGCCGCGUGAGCGAUGAAGGCCUUCGGGUCGUAAAGCUCUGUCCUUGGGGAAGAAGGUCUUCGGACUUGACGGUACCCAAGAAGAAAGCCCCGGCUAACUACGUGCCAGCAGCCGCGGUAAUACGUAGGGGGCGAGCGUUGUCCGGAAUUACUGGGCGUAAAGGGUGCGUAGGCGGCCCUUUAAGUCAGAUGUGAAAGGCCACGGCUUAACCGUGGGAUUGCAUUUGAAACUGGAGGGCUUGAGUGUCGGAGAGGGUAGUGGAAUUCCCAGUGUAGCGGUGAA
rnacentral:rRNA from 1 species